rnacentral:lncRNA from 1 species
UUAAGAGAAUUAUAAAUACUGUAAUAUAUAAUUUUAUUUUAUUGGCAUGCCUUUUUGUAAAUACAAAUUACUAACUUAUUAAAUAGGAAAUGGCUUCUGGCUUACGCCAUUGUCAUGGUUAUUUUUAUUUUUUAUACUUUCCUUUCUUCUUAGAAUUUAGAAGCUGUCAGCCAAUGUAUACCCCUAACCAGACAGACAGACAAAAAAUUUUUUAUUGCUAAUGGUAUUUUCCAAAACAACAAAAUAUAUAUAUAUUUUUGUUCCAAUGUGCAAUAAAUUCUAACCACUUCUAUGCAAGAUUUGGCUAAACUCAAUCAUUGUUCUUAGAUCUUGAGAUGGGCAACAGCUAUUUGAUCCUGCUAGGAACACCAAGCGCCAUGCUAGUAAUGUUCAGCGAUUAGAUCUGACCCUCCUACCCCAGCUCCUGACCCAGCCCAGCAGGCUGUGCCUCAGUUUCUCACACCCUCCAACAGCCUCGCAGGGAAGAAGCCACCUCCGAGUCUGCUUGCUCUAACUUUCACUCUGAUCAGACCUCUCCCAGCAAUGCCCCUCACCUUCCAUCUGUCCACCCAGCCACUCUCUGCCCGCCUCGCUCUCUCUGUCCCACUCCAUGAUCCUUUCUUGUGAACCACACCAUCACCAGCAGUUCACACCCGCAGUUAACAGGCAUCGAACCUUAAAGAAUCAGCUACGGCAGGUUUUGGUUGGUUUGGUUUUGUUUUGCGUCCUCAUUGCGUGAGCAAGUGGCAGGGCUUUGCCAAAUAUUCAUGAAGCCUGUCAAAGAGCGGCAGCAGCCAGUACCACUGCACAUAUAUAUAUAGAUAUAUAAAUAUAAUAUAAAUAUUUAUUUUUUGUAGCCGGGUCCUUGGUGCAGUAUUUAUAUUCCACGAUCCUCCUUUAAAAAUAAUAAUAAUAAUAAUAAAAAGGACAAAAAAGCAAAAAGUCAUGUGAUGCUGUUCAUUUAAAACGCAGAGCCAAAGCCCCUGAGCAGUAGUCGCCAUGACUACUGGUUGUGUGAAAACACUCCCUUCUUCCUUAACUUCCCUGUGGCUUAGGGUGAGAGGCUGGGAGUCACAGGGCAGAGGGUGGGAGCAGGAAAGCCGAGUCUGAGUGAUCUGCUCUCACCAUCUGGAAAUGAGCCACUUGGGCAUCUGAAGCUGCGCACAGAGAGACAAGCUCCCCCUCAGGGCCCCUGAAGCGACAUAGAGUGCCCAAAGGGCUUCUCUCAUCACCACAACCCACGUAAACUGUAAGAGACCCAUAGUGUGCUAGUGAGUGCAUGGAGCCUGAUGCUGCCCUAAACGAUACCUGAUCUUUAGAAAAGUAAAUCACUAUUAGCCAAAAGGAAACAAAAUUUACAAAACAAACAAACAAACAAAAAAUACGGCCCUUUUUAACCACACAAGGGAAGCCCGUCUUGCUGUGUGUCUGUUUGACUUUCCAGUUAUUGAGGUCUGGGAACUGGGACCCUGGAGCUUUGGGGAAGGAGAAAGGAAAACAGAGCCCCCCCCCCCCAAUUCUAAGUAGGUACUGCAGAGAAAAGCCAGGUCCUGACCCCCCAGGUCCCUGCUUACUGAUUGCAUGUGGCAUUACCCCUUAGACUGGACCCCCCUCCCUCACCGUUUCCACCCAGCAGAGCCCCCCAGAGAUGACUUCAACCAACCUAGCUGGUCUGGCCUUACUUCUGCCUUGUUCAUGGUUAUGAUUUAAGAAAGAAAGAAAAAAAAAAAACCUCUCCUGACCCCCCACCUCCCAAGGCUAGCGCAAGCACGCUGCCCGGCAGCUUCCAGUCCACCAGCUCGUGCUGGCCCUGCCUUCCAUCCACUCCCAUUAUCAGACCGGCAGACUGGGGCUGUCCCCUUCACAUUUGUGCAGGGGAGGGGGCAUCCCUUGGGGACAUCCCUCUCCAGGCCAUGUCUCCUGGUCUAGGAACACUCAGGAGGAUCUUGAAGUGCCCACUCUAGUCCACUCUAGUAGCUGAACUAGAGAGAGUCGGCUGGUAGGUCAGUCCCUGUCCUUGUCCCUCAGCUCCAGCCUCCAGGCCUUCUGUGGAGGUGAAAUUGCCAUGGGUCCGGACAUGGUGACCUGAACCCUGGGCAUCUUCUGGAACGAUGCCUCUUUCUUUUCUCAGAUGUUGCCCAAAGUUUUGCAAAAAGCUUCCUUCAUUUUCAGGUACUCCCCCGCCCCCUAAAGAAUUAGCUGCCGUCAGUCAGCCAGGGGGGUCAGGAGAAGAGGAAGUCUGGGUUCAGAGGACAAGACUUGCACCCCGGCCUGUGCUUCUUGCCUCUUCUCAAGACUGCCAAGAUUUCCUCCAUUAAAACACUCCUGAGGCACCCCUGCCCCUGACCCCACUGCUGUUUGCUGUACAUAGAGGCUAAGUGGGGUGAAGUGGGCAGGUGUGCACAUGUAUGUGUGUGUGUGUGUGAAGAAUGUACAUAGGUAAAGGGGAGCGUGGUCCAGUGGUUCCAGAAGAGGGACAGAACUGUGUUCCAUCCCUAGCUUGACCACUGGCUCGCUGUGUGGCCUUGGGCAAGUCACUUAACCUCUCUGUGCCUCAGUUUCCCCAUCUGUAAAAUGGGGGUAAUAAUACUGACCUACCUCACAGGGGUGUUGUGAGGCUUUAACUAGAUGUUUUGUAAAGCGUUCUGAGAUACAGAGACAAAGGCGCCAGGGAAGGGCAAAGUAUUCUUUGGACUUGAGGAAGAGGAACUAGUACCAUAAACGCUGCUAUUCUGAGAGCCAUUUUAAACUGCACUGCUCCACCACCCCCCGCUUCUCAUCACCAGGACAGCAGGUCGAGAAAUGUCUUUCCUUGCACUUGCUUCUGGGGUUUGUGAUUCUUCUGAUUUUUCCCUUUGCUGUAUCUCCUUCCUUACCCCUCCACUCGUUCCCUGUUCUGUUAAUGCGGAAAUGGCAGAAAUGCUUGAGAAAUGAGAAUGUAUAAGUGGAUUGGAAGUUUAUAGUCUGGAUUUUCAAUUUUACUUUGUACUGUACAUCUUUUUACUUUAGAAUUUGCAAUAAAGGGUUACGUCAAUCUUGUUUUCAACUCUC